GUAGGUGGCAAGCGUUGUCCGGAAUUAUUGGGCGUAAAGCGCGCGCAGGUGGUUUCUUAAGUCUGAUGUGAAAGCCCACGGCUCAACCGUGGAGGGUCAUUGGAAACUGGGGAACUUGAGUGCAGAAGAGGAAAGUGGAAUUCCACGUGUAGCGGUGAAAUGCGUAGAGAUGUGGAGGAACACCAGUGGCGAAGGCGACUUUCUGGUUUGUAACUGACACUGAGGCGCGAAAGCGUGGGGAGCAAACAGGGAUUAGAUACCCUGGUAGUCCACGCCGUAAACGAUGAGUGCUAAGUGUUAGGGGGUUUCCGCCCCCUUAGUGCUGCAGCUAACGCAUUAAGCACUCCGCCUGGGGAGUACGGCCGCAAGGCUG
rnacentral:rRNA from 1 species